GUAAGGUAACGGUAGGUUUUACGGUACGUUCCGUACGGUACGUACGACGGACGAACGCUGGCGGCGUGCUUAACACAUGCAAGUCGAACGGUGAAGGAAGAGCUUGCUCUUCCGGAUCAGUGGCGAACGGGUGAGUAACACGUGGGCAACCUGCCCCUGACUCUGGGAUAACUCCUCGAAAGAAGGUGCUAAUACCGGAUACGACCACUUCGGACAUCCGAUGGUGGUGGAAAGUUUUUCGGUCAGGGAUGGGCCCGCGGCCUAUCAGCUAGUUGGUGGGGUAAUGGGCCUACCAAGGCGACGACGGGUAGCCGGCCUGAGAGGGCGACCGGCCACACUGGGACUGAGACACGGCCCAGACUCCUACGGGAGGCAGCAGUGGGGAAUAUUGCGCAAUGGGCGAAAGCCUGACGCAGCGACGCCGCGUGAGGGAUGAAGGCCUUCGGGUUGUAAACCUCUUUCAGCAGGGACGAAGCGAAAGUGACGGUACCUGCAGAAGAAGCACCGGCUAACUACGUG
rnacentral:rRNA from 1 species